rnacentral:rRNA from 1 species
GACGAACGCUGGCGGCGUGCUUAACACAUGCAAGUCGAACGGAAAGGCCCUGCUUGCAGGGUGCUCGAGUGGCGAACGGGUGAGUAACACGUGGGUGAUCUGCCCCUUACUUUGGGAUAAGCCUGGGAAACUGGGUCUAAUACUGGAUAGGACCAUGCUGUAGGUGGUGUGGUGGAAAGAUUAGUUUCGGUAAGGGAUGAGCUCGCGGCCUAUCAGCUUGUUGGUGGGGUAAUGGCCUACCAAGGCGUCGACGGGUAGCCGGCCUGAGAGGGUGGGCGGCCACAUUGGGACUGAGAUACGGCCCAGACUCCUACGGGAGGCAGCAGUGGGGAAUAUUGCACAAUGGGCGCAAGCCUGAUGCAGCGACGCCGCGUGGGGGAUGACGGCCUUCGGGUUGUAAACUCCUUUCAGCCAUGACGAAGCCUUCGGGUGACGGUAGUGGUAGAAGAAGCACCGGCUAACUACGUG